AUGAUAUUUCUACAUUUAAUUAUGAAAGAGUGAAAGGCCAAGUUGAAUCUCUGAUAGAUAAAUUGGACAAGUUGACUCAAAUUGUUCAAAGUUUGCUGCCUAAUACCUCAGACAAUUCUAAAGCAAGAAACUCACAUUCUGUGGACAAUAUUGCAACAGAUUCAAGUGCACACCGUGAUGAAGAUGGUACUGAUGAAGAUGGUGAUGAAGAUGUUGCUGAUGAAUAUGAUGCAAACUCUAAUGAGGACUUUUAUUAGAUAUAUUGUUAGCUUCCUCGCUUAAGAAUGAUUAUAUUAUAAAGACCAAAUAUUGAAUAUUUAUCUUUAUCUGAACAUGUAUGAAUGAUUAACUAUGUUUCUUCUAAUGCAAUUUUUUUUUAUG
rnacentral:lncRNA from 1 species